CGCCACCACCCGCCCCGCCCGCGCGCCCGCCAGCCAAUCGGCGCCCGCCGCGCCCACGCGCGACCCGGAGAGGCCGGUGGGGGCGGGGACUGAGGCGUCCCGCUGUGGUCCCCCCCAGGCCUUUGGUUCUCCGGGCUGCGCGAGUGCUGCAAGGCUAUUCCCACGGUCUCGAUAGGAGCGCCCCCUCCCCUUCCUGUCAUCCAGCCCAGGCCUAGACUCUGUUCUCCCUUGACUGUCGCUGGAAGCCGGUUGGUUCCUGGGCCUCUGACCUUCCAUCAUUGUGUCCCAGGACUGUGCUUCGUGCAGCCCAUGAAUGAACUCAGGGGAUAUAAGGACCCCUCUUCACCCCAUCAAGGUGCAUUUGGAAGGGGCAGGCCUGGAGCCUCUUGGUAUUUGUUGGACAGAAGUUCAGAACCCGAGCUCUCUUGCAGACUGCUGGGUGCUGGGCACUCUACCCUGGGCACACACACACCUGGGCAAGAUGGCAGGGUGUGGCUAGGUAACUCCUUUUCCUGGACUGCAAGAUGGGGGCAUUUGAGGUGUGUGACCAGAACAGAACAAUCUGAAGGCCACCUUAGCCCUCCUUGCUCCGGCUCUGGUCCGGUUUUCUGUGAUAUGUGCUCUCCCCAGUUACCUCCUUGGAGAGGGUUUGAAGGGGGCUGAGGGGCACCACAAGGACAGAUUCAUGCUCAGAGCGACAUUUAUACAUGAAGAUGCUGUGUCUCCGUAUCUCCAAUAAGUUGAUAGGGCUAAGUGACCCACGGUGUGCAUACCUUCUGUGUUACUGUCACAUCCCAGGUGGCUUUGGCCUAAACCUCAGAGAGUCUGUGACCAGGGUAGGGAUGUUCCACUGUCCCAAUCUUACAGCCUAAGGAUCAGAUGGGGUGCGUACACACCGUAGGGUGUGUACACGCUGUGGUGCCUCUUUGGAAUCUAGAGAGGGCACCCGCAGGCGAUCAAAUACUGGUCAUUUUGUGUAUGAAACACUGGCUUAAUGAAGCUAGUGGAAGUGAGAGUCUAGACAUCUUUUAGGGUCGCCCUCACCAGUGACUUUUUCAUGGAGUUCUUGGGGGAAUUUGGAACUCUGUUAAAGGAAUGUGCAGUCUGAGGCAGGGGCAGAAACACAAUGCCAGGACUUCUGAGUUUACCAGUUCUGGCUCUGGAGAAACCCAGGCAGGGAAGUUAGGACAUUUAGCGUGUGCGGGGAGAAAGGAAGAUCUUCCUUGAGGCUCUGAUAGGAAGGCUACUCCUGAUGCUCUCUAGUUAGGAGGUUGUACUUGGCCAGGAGGGCCGUGUGAAGAGGGGAAAGAGGCUUGUGUACAGAAGGGGAAUAAAUUAUAAAACAAUUGUAAUGAGCCCUCGACACAGGGGUUUGACGAAAAUAAUAAUAAUAGUAAUAAAACUGCUGCAGAGGUUGGAGAUGGGUGAUGAGCAGAGCCAUGUAGACAACAGCUUUCAAAAACAUGCAUGUGGGUUGGGGAUUUAGCUCAGUGGUAGAGCGCUUGCCUAGCAAUCGCAAGGCCCUAGGUUCGAUCCUCAGCUCCGGGAAAAAAAAAAAGAUUUAAACUCUAAAAAGGUACGUGUAUUUCAAAUAUUAUGGUUCAGAGGAGACAUGCAGUCGGCUGAGCGCUCACUGGGAAGUGAACGGGUGGUCUGCUGUUCCUGAGGCUCCAGAGCAACCUGGCUUGGUACCACAUGGAAAUACAUCUGGGAGACUCCCUUGUCCUGGGACUCUGGUCCCCUGGUAAGCCCUGGGGCAGCUUCAAGUCUCUCACAGAGGAAGGAGGUUGCGCGUUGUGCUGAGAAGGAAUAAUGCUUGUGGCUCAGCAGACACUGUAUGCACAGGGGACGUUUCUGAGGUCAGGAAAAUAGGCCACGAAGGCAUCGUCAGCCUUCAGCUUUGUAGGACCUGUCCCCAGUUCCACCGUGCGGACAGUGUGAAUGUCACAAAGGUCAUAGGCUCCGGCCGGAACAGCCAGGGGCUGAGUCUGAACAAAAGUCCCGUAUGGCUUUUGCCCUUUGUCGGAAAGCAUGGCCUCCGGUGGGCUGUCAAGUGUCAGAGAGGCAGCAGGAGUGGCAGGGUGGGGACCUGCACAUCCUCGCUUACCUGUUCAAGAUGUUGUGGCUUCCCAGUGGGCACUCGCUUUGCCUUGCUGUCAUAACGCUGGCUGUAGUACAAAGAGAAGUAAACAAAAGACUUUCUGCGUGGGGAAAACGCUUCUUCUUUUUUUUUUUUAAUUCAUAAGGAAAAGAAGUUAAUGAGUGAAAAAAAAUAGGCUCUGUCAAGAAAAAUCUGUUCAAGCCACUUGGGCUACAAAUAGCUCACUUUACAGAGGGGGGAAAAAAAACCUUGUCAUUUUGUUAAAUCAUGCUGUGUCUCCCCUCAGCAGACUGAGGGAGCUGCACACCCCCACCCCGCACCAUAAGGCCAGUUGGGGUAAGCAAAGCGCUCUUGGGGAGAUAGCACUGGUGCCAGCCAUAGUGACCAGACGCAGUGAGGCAGAGAAUGAAGAUGCCGAAGUUUGGAGGUGGGGAAGUUUAUUCUGGGUGACAGAGAGGUGGGAGCAACCGGUGGUGAAAAAAUUCUAGAAUGUUUGCUGCGGCUACUGCUCACUUCUGAGGUUGAGGGCAAAGGUCAAACCGUGUUCCGAAGGUGAGACCUCCCUCGCAAAACUUUCUAUAGCCCCUCAUCCCAUAACUACCUCAGAACGGGCCUGGCUCAAGAAGCAAUCCCUGGCUUUUGUGCCUACGCACAGGACAGCAAAUGCUGCUCAUAAGGAGCCUGGGAUCCGCAUGAGGAGACUAAAUCCAGGCCUGUGGAGCCCAGCCCCAGUUCUGAGAGGGAUACAACCGACCAACCAGGCCCCACUUGGGCCCAGCCUGGGGCUUGGCCUGCUUGUACAGCCCACUACAACCCGAACUCAUUCUCCUUCUGUCCUCUCUGCUUCAUCUUCCAGUGGGGAUCAGUCUCCUUCCUGACUCUUCCUUUGUCUUUCCGUGGGUGUGUUCUCACACUGCCCUUGCUGCCUUUGCCGCCCUCCCUGAGACAGAAGACGUCCCCUCAUCCUCUUGCACUUGAGGGCUUUGCACCAUUCAGCUUCCUGCCAGUGUGCCCUGGGGUCUGUCUGCACUGCCCCUGAGUGUGGUGCUGUCCCCACGCUUCUGUUCCCAGCCCCUUCUGUCUGGUCAGAAGCUGUGAUACAGCUCUGCAGAGUCAGACAGUAGGCUCACAGUGAUCAGCCAGCCCAGCACCCGGGAAAGCCUUGUCUCAUGCUAGACCCAGCAUCAUGGCAAGUGGAGUGGGGGUGGGAAAAGCCAGCCAAGAGGGUCAGAGUAAGGGAGGCUGCAGACUGCAGGCUCUGAAGCCCAGACAUCCCUGCAUCUGCAGUGGGUGUAUCAUUUUGCAAGGGGGAUCUAUGGUAUUUUGUCCUCCCAAAGGCAGUGGUUGUCUCAAAACACAGGGUGAAUGUGAAAACAUUAAAGUGUACUGGAGAAUGCUUUCCUUGAUUUUCUUGCUAAAAGAAUGUAAGGGGACUACACCAGUCCUUGUCACCAAAGACAGACGUCAGAAGGGCAUAGAAUUCCAACAGCUGCCCCUGACAAGAGGGCCAAGAGGCUGACUCUGCUUAAAGCUGCCUGUGUGUAUUGCAAGCCUCCAGGGAGGCUGAGCCCUGCUCCAUACUGAGCAGCUGGGAUGGUGCUACAAAGGGUGUUUAUGUGAGAGAGGGAAUCAGCCUAGGGACCCAGAGCAGCCUGGGUCUUUAAGGAGGUAGAGGGAGCUUCUAAGACAUCGUCCAGUCGGAGAGUCCCCUGUGGUCCUUGGGCAGUGUCCUGGGAGAGAGAUAGGGUGCAGUCUAGGCUGGGAUCCUCGAGAGUGAAGAUUGUAUCAGGUACAAUCAGCUUCUUGCCACUGAGCUCUCCGGGAGACUGACCCUAUACCAGGUGCAUGCACAGAGCUGGGCGCCUCCCUGCUACGGUACCCCACCCUUCCGAUGUUGUCUGAUCUCACUGCACUUCUAGAGCUUUAUGGAAAGCCAAAGACAGAAGAAAAUGAUGAGUGACUUAGAAGAUGGUGCCAGCACCAAGGUUUUCCCAGAAGCUCAGAGGCAUUAAAAAAAAAAAAUCUCUUACUGACUGUACUGAUGGCUCAGCGGUUCAGAGAAUCCAGGUUCCCAGUCCACUCUGGGCAUCUUACAACUGCCUGUAACUUCUGUUUCAGUGGUUCAAUCCCCUCUUCCGCCCACUGCAGGCACCUUCAGGAAUAUGGUAUAUAUCCAUACAUCUCGGCACACACGUAUACACAUAAACCAAAGUAAACAUAAGUCUUUUCAAGUAAACUUCACAAGAAUAUGCGUUUUGGGAAGGCGAGAGGGUGCAGAGGCCAGAGCAGCGGUCACAUCGCCCUAAGUCAGCCAAUGUGCUCAGGUAAGAGUCUACUCUUUGCUGCUGCCCCUCCUCUUGGCACGGGGGCUCCUGGGGCUCCUGGGGCUCCUGGGGCUCCAGCUUCUCACUGCAUCCUACCUUCUAGACACGACCUACAAGUGUUGUUAGGCCACUAACAUGGACCCGAAAAUCUUUCUGGAAUAAACAGGACCAAAAGCGGGGCUGUGACCUCCACGCAUGGGUCACGAGGGCCAGCUGCUGGAGUGGUUCUAGAACCCACUGCAGUAGGCACGGGCUCUAACCCAACAUUCUACCCAGACACUGGCUGAGGGAUGGUGUGGCAGUAGGGGCAGGACCUGUAGAACAGCACAGGAAAGCACUCGCCAGGGCCUCCAGGGCAGAUAGCCACUGCUUGAGUCUUGAAGUUUCAGAUGACUGGCUGUAUCUUGGUAAGGACAUGAGCUCGGAGGUCUCAGCUCAGUCAACCACUGCCCCUGUCUUGCUUUUGGCCGGCAGUCUCGGGGACACCUUGACCCAUGGAAAUCAGUCAAAGGCAGACAAGGGGACAGUGAGCAGAUGCCACCAGCAGUGGGACUGGCCUGGAUGGAGACUUUCAUGGUACAAUAUGGUCUCCGCUCAGUACCUACUUAUCUCUGUUGAGAACUUGCUGUGUGUCUGACAGGGCAGAGCCAUGUACCGUUAAGUGGGAGAGAGGCGUACACUGUGUGCCAGGAUUGCCACUUGGCUGGUAGAAAACGGUGAGGUGGACACGCAAAGUUGAUGGCUAACGAGAGCCAGCCCUCACAUGUGCUUGCUGCCCAGCCCAUGCCCUGGGUGGAAGACGCUACCCAUCACCCUUCCUUGUUCCAAAAGCUGUCUUUAAGAGAUCCUGUGUAAACUUAGUAGAGCGGUACACACUUUUAAUCCCAGUGGGAGGAGGCAGAGGUAGAGACAGGGAGAUCUCUGUGAGUUUGAAGCCGGGAAGGAAGGAAGGAGAAGAACUUAGUUCCUACAGUGGAGGUAUGGAAGGUGGUGGUGUGCCCUUUACCCUUUGCCCUUUAGAAGGUCAAGCCUGGCGGGUUACUGGAUGUACUGGUUUCAGAAGAGAUCAAUGUGAUCCUCAUGGGCCCUGACUUCUCAGCUGAGGGUUUUUAUGGAACCAGAGUCUGAUUACACUGGGUUUUUUUUUUUUUUCUGUCCUUCCUAUUCAAGAUGUGGUCACUGGAUUUGGUGUGUGUGUGUGUGUGUGUGUGCGCGCGCGCGUGCCUUUGUCAUGUGACAUGCUAUAACAGAGCUGUCGACGGGUCUGCAAGGUUGUGGGCAACAUGCCCUUAAGCCUUGGACACUAUAAACUAAACCUCUUUUAAAAUUUAUUUUUAAACUCUAUCAUCAUCAUCAUCAUCAUCAUCAUCAUCAUCAGCAGCAGCAGCAGCAGCAGCAGCAGCAGCAGCAGCAGCAGCGAAGGGGCAUAUGUGGUGAUCAGAGCCCAGCUUUGUGUAAUCAGUUUUCUACAUACAAACUUAGGCUGGUCCUGGGAAUUGAACUUAGGUCAGCAGGCUUGGGCUACCAAUGCAUUUCCCUGACACCGUCUCACCAGCCCAGCCACUUUGCUUCAUUGGUGGCCUGCCCCAGGUACUUUGUUAUGGGCAUGCGAGCUCACUGACAGAGAGAGCUCACAGUUGAGAGAGCAAGCACUUGCCUUCCUUCCCGCUGCCCCACACCACGUCCACACCAGCAGCCCGAAUAAGUGUUUUCUCUGUUGACAUGCAGGCAGUCGGCUCUGCAGUGACCCACGGCUGCAUGUCCUCACGUUCAGUCCCAACUUGGGAAAGAGUCUCAGAUUCUACAGGAUCUGAGUGCACAGCAGAUUUCUGACCUACUGGCCAGAACUGAGAAUUCUCUAGCCCCCUCCUCAGGAUUGGUUAAUUUGUUUGAGGGAGAAUUGAAUUUGUUUGAGGGAACACAGAACCCAGGAAACACUUAUAUUUACCAUUUAUUUUAAGGUACAUGACGAAACUUUCAGAUGAAGGGCUGCGUGGAGGUGUGGGAGGAGGGAGUACUGCUCAGCGCCAUUCCUGGCAUUAGUCUCCGGCACCCAAAGUGUGCAAUGAUCUGGACACUCCCCAAACCCUGUCCUCCUGCUGUUUUGUGGGGAGUUUGUUGCACGUCUAAUGCUAAAAUUGCCUGGGUGGGGAAACUCAGCCUGGCCUGUCUACUGGACCUUCUGUAGUAACUCCUUCCUCCAAGGCGUGGGGCAGCAUCCUCUGGGGUGAGGAGAGUUUGUAAGAACUCCCCGAGGGAGGAAAUUUCAGGUCCUAUGACCAGCCAUGGGGAGGGAGAGAGGAGCAAGAACCAUGAAGGAAACCAAGACACAGACAGCAAGUCACACACAGAGUUUCAGCCACCGACGCUCCAGCACAGUACAGGAAAGUUCCAGACUCAAGGAGGAGAAUGGUGGCCCCUCGUGUGCUCGCCAGAAAUCUAAAGACACAAGUCAGACAACUGUGCUCAACGAGAAAACUAAAGCCCAGUCCCAGACCUGGAUCUAGCAGCCAUGUGCAGCGAGAAGGCACCUGACAUCGCCUACUAAUACAUGUUCCCUGCCACCUUCCUCUACCUGCAGCAGCUUCCAUUGGAACUUCAUUUCUAUGACAUUUUGAAAAUCCAUGUAGUUCAAAUUCUCUGAAAAAAACCCUGAAGUCCUGGGACUGCAGAGAUGGCUCAGUGGUUACGAGUCCUGGUCGUUUGGAUCUGGGUUCAAUUUCCAGUGCUUCCAUGGAGGCUCACUACUGGUUCCAGGAGAUCCGGCACCCUCUUCUCUUCUCAGGCUCUAGAUAUGAAGGUGAUGCACAGAUAUUUGUGUAGGUAAAAUAAUCAUAUACAAUAAAAAAAUAACCAACUGA